CCUUUAGAUGUUCUGGGCCGCACGCGCGCUACACUGACGAUGGCAACGAGUUUUUCCUUCGCCGAAAGGUGUGGGUAAUCUUUUGAAACAUCGUCGUGCUGGGGAUAGAUCAUUGCAAUUUUUGAUCUUGAACGAGGAAUUCCUAGUAAGCGCGAGUCAUCAGCUCGCGUUGAUUACGUCCCUGCCCUUUGUACACACCGCCCGUCGCUACUACCGAUUGAAUGGUUUAGUGAGGACUCCUGAUUGGCGCCGCCGCCCCGGCAACGGAGCAGCGGACUGCCGAAAAGUUGUUCAAACUUGAUCAUUUAGAGGAAGUAAAAGUCGUAACA
rnacentral:rRNA from 1 species